UCCAACAGUGCGGUUGCCUGGCUCUCCUGU
rnacentral:piRNA from 1 species